rnacentral:rRNA from 1 species
CAAUAGCGUAUAUUAAAGUUGUUGCAGUUAAAAGCUCGUAGUUGGAUUUCUGACAAGGAUAAUCGGUCCGAACCUUCGGGUUCGUGUACUUGGUUUUUCCUAGUCAUCCUUAUAGAGAACGUGCGUGGCAUUAGGUUGUCGUGUACGGGACCUAUAUCAUUUACUGUGAAAAAAUUAGAGUGUUCAAAGCAGGCAAUCGCUGUGAAUACAUUAGCAUGGAAUAAUAAUCUAGGACUUCGGUUCUAUUUUGUUGGUUUCUAGUACUGAAGUAAUGAUUGAUAGGGAUAGUUGGGGGUGCUAGUAUUGGCCGGCCAGAGGUGAAAUUCUUGGAUUCGGUCAAGACUAACUUAUGCGAAAGCAUUCACCAAGGAUGUCUUCUUUAAUCAAGAACGAAAGUUGGGGGAUCGAAGACGAUUAGAUACCA